rnacentral:sRNA from 1 species
CAGACAAUAGGGGAACAUAGGGGAGAAGCGGGUCCCCCAAAUCCAUCAGGACUGAGUAAGUGGCCCUAGUGUUCAAGAAGGAAAUGGAUUGCCUACAUACCAUGAUGACUACCCAGGGCUCUCAGUUAGUAACGGAAGUGAUUGUGUCAAGGGAUCUCAGGCCUCUUCAUUCGUCCAUAGCCAGGCCUAGGAGAUAAGCUGGAAGGUUACCUGGGAGUGAUGUCGCUCUGUCCUGUGUGAUGUGAGGGUAAUCAGCAGACCAAUGUCCCUCCUUUUGGCACCUAGGGCAUGGCUCCUGUGGCUUGGGGAGUUUAGGGCAAGUCCUAGCCCAAUGACCGUGUUGAACACAACAUGGUCUCUGAGCCUUAGAAGACCAGGAGUCUGGGGCAGUGGCUGGGGCUGGUCACACCGCCUUUGCCAGCAUAUGGUAUUUUUGUCUGUGGGGCUUUUCGUCUUUCUGAUGGUACAUUUUGAAGACCAGCACCCAGAGUUUGCUUCUGGAGUUAAAGGUCACUUCUCCAAACAUCUAAGUUUGUCAUUUAUGUCAGGGUAUCUUUGGGAAAAGAAGUAGGUAUCCAGAAUUGCUUACCCUCUGUGUUUUCAGGGUCUACAUUAGUAUAUUGUAAUAGGACCUUUAUAAGGAGAUCUAAAAAUUGAUCCGGGUUUUUUUUGUCUUGGAUGACCUCUUGGAGUUUUUCCAAUUUUACUGGUUUUAAGGCUACCCUAUGAAGACUGGCCAGGAGGCAGGUUAUGGCUAAAAUACCAUCUGGGGAAUUCCAAUUCUAUCGAGGAUUUUGGUCGGGUACUCUCAGAUCUGGUUCAUCUCUUUGGCCAGAAGUCAACUUGCAUUAGAAAAUGUGCUAUUACCAAGAAGCAUGUCACCAAGACAACCGAAUAGAACUGUCCAGAGUAUGUCCUUCUGCAGAAAUAUCAAUUGAGACAACUAUCCAGGCAUGAAAUACCUUCAUAAGAACUAAACAAAACAGGGAAAGCUCCUUAAACCAGAAGAGAGUUGUGGCAAAAAAAGACACACUCAACCAAGAGUUGCGAUGAAAGCAAUGUGUCACAUGAAUUGCCAAUACUUACACUAGUUAAAAGAAGAAAGAAACAAAAGAAAAUAGAGCAUCAUUAUAUAAAAGAGUCAACUUAUCAAGCAGAACCAUCCCUUUAUUCUUCUUCUUUCCCCUACAAUGAAGUGAUUCUUUACAACAUCCUGUGCUCCUUUUAAAGCCCAUUGGUUCCUUGUGGUGCUGUCAGAAUGUACAUGAGGAACGUCUACUGAAGAAAGGAAAGCCUCUCAGAAGCCAAAUACCUGAAGAAAACUCACUCUGCCUCUCAUAAGAAUCCAUCAGUGGCCAAUAUCACCUCAGUGUUUCCACAGGACGUAUCCCAGAUGAUUGAGUCGGGGGAAAGUCUACAAAAGUUUGGAUGUUGAUUAUUUCCUAAUAUCCCAGAAAUGAGAGGAAAGCCUAAACAUGAUCUAGGAUUAAGGAUACCAGCUUUUGCAGAAGAACUAAAACAACUACCCAUGUCUAAACAAGCAACUACUAGACUCUUGGGCUUCCCAUUCACAACUGCCCAUUGUUGGGUUAGCUGGACUACUGACUAGUCACCAGCCAACAAACAGGCAUUAAAUUCACCAUCCUAAGGAAAUUAUUCAUACUCAAAACAUAACAGCCAAAAGUCAUGCACUUGAAGACUUCUGUCUCUACUCCUCUAUUCUACGGAUAAAGUGAAACCAUAACUUUCAGGAAAAGAAAACAUGAGAAUGUAGAUUACAAAAGUCGGAACUGACAAAAUACAUAAAGACCAUGGGAUGGAAUUUACAUUUUGAGGAUGGCAGAGUAAUGAAUCAGAAAGAGCCUUUGACACCAACGACUCACAGGAAGUCCCAACAUGUCUCCUUAAUAUCUUCAUAGUGGUCAUAUCAUUUGAAUAUGAAGAAGAAAAAGAGCAGGUGGAGGUAUUCAACCAUGCCGUCAAUCAACUAUGCAAUGCAACUAUGCAAUGACCAAUUAAAAGAAUAAGAAAUCUAAAUGAAUAGAUCUUUUAUUAUUAAUUUCAUUUAAUACUGGUUAAGCAAGAGAGACAGUUGAAUUAGGGUUUUUAAA